CCAAGUCAUUUUCUAACAAUGAACAGCCUGUCAAGUCGAGCCGCAGACAUAGACAAGCCAGCUGGGAACUUGUACGGGUGAAUGUCGGCGGCACCUAGGGACUAGACACGUUCAAGAUGGCGGCUCCAUCUUCCCGGGAGGAACUAACGACUAGACACGUUCAAGAUGGCGGCCCCAUCUUCCGGGCAGGAACUAGGGACUAGACACGUUCAAGAUGGCAGCUCCAUCUUCCCGGCAGGAACUAGAGACUAGACACGUUCAAGAUGGCGGCUCCAUCUUCCCGGCAGGAACUAGGGACUAGGCACGUUCAAAACGGCGGAUCCAUCUUCCCAGCAGGAACUAGAGACUAGACACAUUCAAGGGAGCGGCUCCAUCUUCCCUCCUCUUUGUCAGCCACAUGUAAAGCAAAGAGCAGAACAUACUGAAAAUCAGCAACUCUUGGAUCCAUCAGAAAAUAGAGAUAACAAGACUAAAUGCUGCCUCAAGACUGGACAGACAGGAGGUCACAGUACUCCAACCACAGAAAUGAGAUGCCUCAAGGGAGGCAGAGGCAGAAAGAAGCCGUCACUACCAAGAAUAAAUAAAGCCAGCAGAGCCACAGUGAUGGCCUGUGUGCUGCAGGUGAGCAUCACCUUGUCGUAAGACCACAGGCCUUCCUGGCCACCCUGUUCAGUUGGCCUCGUGGUGGGAGUCACUAGACUCAAGAUAAACCCAGCCAGACCAUCUGGUUGGAACUACCCAAGGAAAGGCCAUUGUCAGCACAAAGUCAGUGGAGUCUUAGAAUGCACAGCUGUGAUGGGCUGAUUCCUUCUUCCAAAUCCCUAUGUUAAAGCCCUAAUGCCCAGGACCUCAGAAUGUCACCAUAUUUGGAGAUAGAGUCUUUAAAGAGGUGAUGAAGGUAAAACGAAGUCACCAGGGAGGGCCCUAAUCCGAGAAGACUGGGGUACUUAUAAGAAGAGAUGAGGCCGGGUGUGGUGGCUCACGCCUGUAAUCCCAGUACUUUGGGAGGCCGAGGCGGGUGGAUCACGAGGUCAGGAGAUCGAGACCAUCCUGGCUAACACGGUGAAACUCCGUCUCUACUAAAAAUAGAAAAAAUUAGCCAGGCAUGGUGGCACGCGCCUGUAGUCCCAGCUACUCGGGAGGCUGAGGCAGGAGAAUCGCUUGAACCCGGGAGGUGGAGGUUGCAGUGAGCCAAGACUGUGCCACUACACUCCAGCUGGGCAACAGUGCAAGAUUCCAUCUCACAAAAAAAAAAAAAAAAAGAGGAGGAGAUGAGGACACAGACACACACAGAAUGACGACCUGUGAGGACACACUGAGAAGAUGGCAUCUACAAGCCUAAGAGAGAGGCCUCAGGAGGAACCAGCCCUGCCCACACCUUGAUCUUGGACUUCCAGCCUCCAGGAUUGUGGGAGAAUAAACGUCUGCUGUUUACAAGCCACCCAGUCUAUGGUAUUCUGUGAUAGCAGCCUGAAAUGGACUAAGACACCUCACAAGAGGAGGAGAUGAGGACACAGACACAGACAGAGGAAGGACUCUGUGAGGACACAGGGAGAAGACGGCAUCUACAAGCCCAGCAGAGAGGCCUCAGGAAGAACCAGCCCUGCCCACACUUUGAUCUCAGACUUCCAGCCUUCAGAACUGUGGGAAAAUAAAAGUCUGCUGUUUAA